rnacentral:rRNA from 1 species
AUUGAACGCUGGCGGCAUGCCUUACACAUGCAAGUCGAACGGCAGCACGGGGCAACCUGGUGGCGAGUGGCGAACGGGUGAGUAAUGCAUCGGAACGUGCCAUUGAGUGGGGGAGUAACGUAGCGAAAGUUAGCGCUAAUACCGCAUAUUCUGUGAGCAGGAAAGCAGGGACCGGCAAGGCCUUGCGCUCUUUGAGCGGCCGAUGUCAGAUUAGCUAGUUGGUGAGGUAACGGCUUACCAAGGCGACGAUCUGUAGCGGGUCUGAGAGGAUGAUCCGCCACACUGGAACUGAGACACGGUCCAGACUCCUACGGGAGGCAGCAGUGGGGAAUUUUGGACAAUGGGCGCAAGCCUGAUCCAGCCAUGCCGCGUGAGUGAAGAAGG